CAUGUGCCUAUCGUCCCAGCUACUCAGGAGGCUGAAGUGGGAGGAUUAUUUGCGCCCAGAAAUUUGAGGCCACAGUGUGGUAUAUCAUCUGUCAAUAGCCACUGCACUACAAACUGGGCAUCCUAGCAAGAACCUGUAUCUCCAAAAAAAAAAAACUUGAAAAGUGAUUAAGACUAUCCACGUGUUUUUUCUUACUGUUUCUGUCUACUUCCUAAUCUGCAGAUCUGCAAAUGGAAUAAAUGCAAAUGGGAUAAAUGCAAAAUGGAAUAAAUGUCUGGCAGAAGUCAGAAUCUGGAAUUUUUACCAAUUUUGUCCAAUUUAAUUUUACAGUCAACUUGAUCAGCUACUGAGGUGUGUUGGAAGUCAUAGCCACAAUAUUUUGCAGCUCCUCCCAUCAAGGUAGUGUUUGUUUUCCCAGCCCUAGUAUUUGAGCUGGCCUUGUGCCUUGCUUUAACCAAUAAAAUGAGCAGAUGUGUUUCUGGGCUGGUUCUGAGACCUUAAGAGACCUUCUGCUUCAGUCUCUUGGGGUCCUGCUGGCAUGUAAAGAAGCUCAGGCUAAGCCAUGGACGGAUGAGAGACCACGUGGGGAGAUUCCCAACAAGUCCCAACCCACAUCACAUGGAAGAAAGUCAUACAGCAGCGCCCUCAUGCAGAAUGGUGGACCCAGAUGCACAUAACUUGCAAAGAAAUUGUCUGAAAGGAGGUGGCCGUCAGUCAGAGUGAAGAAGGAAAGGAUAUCUUUUGGAAAAAAGAUACGGAGAAGAAAAUGCCCAGGAAUGUGUAGAAGCAAGGAUCCUGCAUUGUUCUUCUGGUAAGAAGAAAAUGAAGGGGAUAAAAUGGGUCUCUGGGGUACAUUGCCUUUAGCUCCAGAAAUGUAAAUGGGCUCUUAGGCUCCUUCUGUUACAGGCUUACGUUCCUCAUCCUAAAGACAAGAAUGCCAUUAGGGUUAUUAGUAAAAGGAUGUUUUCAUUUUACAUUUAUGCCUGAACUUAAUAAGUUUCCAUUUUAAACCAAGAAAUAAACUCAGUCAGCACUUUUAUUUAUUUUAUUUUUAUUUUUUGAGACAGAAUCUUACUCUGUUGCCCAGGCUGCAG
rnacentral:lncRNA from 1 species